GGGCCCGUAGCUCAGUUGGCAGAGCACUUGGCUCUUAACCAAGGGGUCGGGGGUUCGAAUCCCUCCGGGCUCG
rnacentral:tRNA from 1 species